GUGGACCUACGGGGCCAUAUAACCACAACGAUCAAUUGAUCGUUUAAAAACGGAAGACAGAAA
ncrna:unclassified sequences L2-Alphaproteobacteria ribosomal protein leader